AUUGAACGCUGGCGGCAUGCCUUACACAUGCAAGUCGAACGGCAGCACGGGAGCAAUCCUGGUGGCGAGUGGCGAACGGGUGAGUAAAGUAUCGGAGCGUGCCCAGUCGUGGGGGAUCACGUAGAGAAAGUUACGCUAAUACCGCAUACGAUCUAUGGAUGAACGCGGGGGAUCGCAAGACCUCGCGCGAUUGGAUCGGCCGAUAUCAGAUUAGGUAGUUGGUGGGGUAAAGGCUCACCAAGCCGACGAUCUGUAGCUGGUCUGAGAGGACGACCAGCCACACUGGGACUGAGACACGGCCCAGACUCCUACGGGAGGCAGCAGUGGGGAAUUUUGGACAAUGGGCGAAAGCCUGAUCCAGCCAUGCCGCGUGCAGGAUGAAGGCCUUCGGGUUGUAAACUGCUUUUGUACGGAGCGAAAAGGUUUGGCCUAAUAAGCUGAGCUCAUGACGGUACCGUAAGAAUAAGCACCGGCUAACUACGUGCCAGCCGCCGCUGUAA
rnacentral:rRNA from 1 species